AGGAUCAUUCACACACAUCCAACUCUUUCACGUGCAUAUACCAGUGAGGAGGUUUGUGCAAGGGUGGUAAUGCCUUUGCGCACGCGUCCACGGGCGGCCGCGCGGAAGCGGAACGUCUCCAGCUUCUGUAGGGGUCGUCACCUUUUCUUACGCAUACGCGUUCAUUCGAAUGCUUCUUCGGAAGUGGUCGCUUUUUGCGCGAAAGCUGCGGAUGCGCAUUGCAUCUCAGUACGCUUUACAACUUUCAGCGACGGAUGUCUCGGCUCAAACAACGAUGAAGGGCGCAGCGAAGUGCGAUAGACAUUGUGAAUUGCAGAAUUCCGCGAACCAAUAGGCUUUUGAACGCAUACUGCUCUCCCAGGUAUUCCUGGGAGAACGCUUGCUUCAGUGUCUUCGCCAUCUGUGCUCCAUUGCGAGCGUCUUUUUGCGCCACAGCUUGCCUCGAGCAAGGGCUCUGGCGCAAUAAGUCUAGGCUUGCUGCUGUUUGCUUUGGCAGUUGCGAAGGGCUCUCUGGGUCUUUUCCAGCUAAUCAAACCGCGGCAGCUCUUUGAGUGCAUGCGGCCUUUUGACUGCGCGCACU
rnacentral:misc_RNA from 3 species